GAUGAACGCUGGCGGCGUGCCUAAUACAUGCAAGUCGAGCGAACAGACGAGGAGCUUGCUCCUCUGACGUUAGCGGCGGACGGGUGAGUGACACGUGGAUAACUUACCUAUAAGACUGGGAUAACUUCGGGAAACCGGAGCUAAUACCGGAUAAUAUAUUGAACCGCAUGGUUCAAUAGUGAAAGACGGUUUUGCUGUCACUUAUAGAUGGAUCCGCGCCGCAUUAGCUAGUUGGUAAGGUAACGGCUUACCAAGGCAACGAUGCGUAGCCGACCUGAGAGAGUGAUCGGCCACACGGGAACUGAGACACGGUCCAGACUCCUACGGGACGCAGCAGUAGGGAAUCCUCCGCAAUGGGCGAAAGCCUGACGGAGCAACGCCGCGUGAGUGAUGAAGGUCUUCGGAUCGUAAAACUCUGUUAUUAGGGAAGAACAAAUGUGUAAGUAACUAUGCACGUCUUGACGGUACCUAAUCAGAAAGCCACGGCUAACUACGUG
rnacentral:rRNA from 1 species